GUAGUCAUGGCUGCGUGGUUAAGGCGAUCGACUAGAAAUCGGUUGGGGUAUUCUCCCACAGGUUCAAGUCCUGCUAACUAUG
rnacentral:tRNA from 1 species